rnacentral:rRNA from 1 species
AGUGAACGCUGGCGGUAGGCCUAACACAUGCAAGUCGAACGGCAGCACAGUAAGAGCUUGCUCUUACGGGUGGCGAGUGGCGGACGGGUGAGGAAUACAUCGGAAUCUACUUUUUCGUGGGGGAUAACGUCGGGAAACUUACGCUAAUACCGCAUACGACCUACGGGUGAAAGCAGGGGAUCUUCGGACCUUGCGCGAUUGAAUGAGCCGAUGUCGGAUUAGCUAGUUGGCGGGGGAAAGGCCCACCAAGGCGACGAUCCGUAGCUGGUCUGAGAGGAUGAUCAGCCACACUGGAACUGAGACACGGUCCAGACUCCUACGGGAGGCAGCAGUGGGGAAUAUUGGACAAUGGGCGCAAGCCUGAUCCAGCCAUACCGCGUAGGUGAAGAAGGCCUUCGGGUUGUAAAGCCCUUUUGUUGGGAAAGAAAAGCAGCAGGUUAAUACCCCGCUGUUCUGACGGUACCCAAAGAAUAAGCACCGGCUAACUUCGUG